rnacentral:rRNA from 1 species
AUUGAACGCUGGCGGAAUGCUUUACACAUGCAAGUCGAACGGCAGCACGGACUUCGGUCUGGUGGCGAGUGGCGAACGGGUGAGUAAUAUAUCGGAACGUAUCCAAUAAUGGGGGAUAACUAAUCGAAAGGUUGGCUAAUACCGCAUACGUCCUACGGGAGAAAGCUAGGGACCUUCGGGCCUGGCGUUAAUGGAGCGGCCGAUAUCGGAUUAGCUAGUUGGUGAGGUAAAGGCUCACCAAGGCGACGAUCCGUAGCUGGUCUGAGAGGACGACCAGCCACACUGGAACUGAGACACGGUCCAGACUCCUACGGGAGGCAGCAGUGGGGAAUUUUGGACAAUGGGCGAAAGCCUGAUCCAGCCAUUCCGCGUGAGUGAAGAAGGCCUUCGGGUUGUAAAGCUCUUUCGCAAGAGAAGAAAACUUACCCUCUAACAUAGGGUGAGGUUGACGGUAUCUUGAUAAGAAGCACCGGCUAACUACGUGCCAGCAGCCGCCGUAA